GGCCCCAUCGUCUAGAGGUUAGGACACGGCUCUUUCAAGGCCGCGGCACGGGUUCGAGUCCCGUUGGGGACACCA
rnacentral:tRNA from 1 species